UGGUUAGUUGGUGAGUAUACCUAGUCGGAGAUUCGGUCUUGUGGCAGUGUGUUGGUUUGUAGGCAGCGGAGUAGCGAUUGGUAGACGGAGGCGGCGUCGGCGGCGAGAGACGGCGGAGGGGAGGAGAGAAGGAGGAGUAAAAGAAAAGGAAUUGGGAGGAGGAGGUUUGUCGGUCUGUUCAUUUUUUGUUUGUAUUAUGCUUGCCUAGGGAACGGUGAGGUUUUUGUAUGUGUAUUAUUUAUAGAGAAACUAUAGUCUAUAGUGUUGGCUCGUGACAGAUUCUCAAACGUGGAUCUAUUUUCUAUAUUUUAUCUAUGUUCUAUAUUUUGACCCUUGUUGUAACGGUCUACGUUUGCCAAUGGAUUCAUCAG
rnacentral:lncRNA from 1 species